CGUCUUCAGGGCAGGGUGCAAUUCCCGAUUGGCGGUAAAGUCCGCAAGCGCAAAGGCGCAGAUUUGGUGAAACUCCAAAACCAACAGUAAAAGUCUGGAUGAAAGAAGAUG
rnacentral:ncRNA from 1 species